rnacentral:lncRNA from 1 species
GUAAUUAAAACUGUGGAAAGCAAAACCAUGGAUAAGGGGGGACUACUGUAUAGCCUGCUGGGUGGGUGGUCUGAAAAUGAUGCUCUCAUGAGCGGUGAUGAGUUGGAUCUGCCGCUCCAGUAGUAGAGAUAGAGGAGAAGUAGAAUGAGUUCCAAAUUGGGGAAGAUGUCUAUGGAGCAGGAUCACUGAGUCCCUACAACCUGCACCUCCUCCCACCCCAACUAGGUCCUAAGACUCAGUGCAUCAGAGUCCGAGUGAUAAUUGUUAAGCGUGUCUAUGCCGGGCUGGGGCCUCCUCAGAAUGUUCCGUUAUGAUUUACAGUCAGCGCUUGUGGACACCUGCGACCAGAAUUCCUUUCCAUGAGCUUGAGCAUGCACCUGCCUCCUCCUCAAAGCUAUAAAUGUGUUACAUCAACAUUCCUUAAAGGGGAAAUAAAAGGUGAUCCUUU